rnacentral:rRNA from 1 species
ACGCUCGACACCUACUGGAGGCAGCAGGUGGGGAAUAUUGCACAAGUGGGGGAAACCCUGAUGCAGCGACGCCGCGUGAGUGAAGAAGUAUUUCGGUAUGUAAAGCUCUAUCAGCAGGGAAGAAGAUGACGGUACCUGAGUAAGAACGCCCCGGCUAACUACGUGCCACAGCCGCGGUAAUCUGAGCGGGCUGGCAAGGC